rnacentral:rRNA from 1 species
AUUGAACGCUGGCGGCAGGCCUAACACAUGCAAGUCGAGCGGAUGAAGGGAGCUUGCUCCUGGAUUCAGCGGCGGACGGGUGAGUAAUGCCUAGGAAUCUGCCUGGUAGUGGGGGAUAACGUCCGGAAACGGGCGCUAAUACCGCAUACGUCCUGAGGGAGAAAGUGGGGGAUCUUCGGACCUCACCCUUUCAUAUGAGCCUAGGUCGGAUUAGCUAGUUGGUGGGGUAAAGGCCUACCAAGGCGACGAUCCGUAACUGGUCUGAGAGGAUGAUCAGUCACACUGGAACUGAGACACGGUCCAGACUCCUACGGGAGGAAGCAGUGGGGAAUAUUGGACAAUGGGCGAAAGCCUGAUCCAGCAAUGCCGCGUGUGUGAAGAAGGUCUUCGGAUUGUAAAGCACUUUAAGUUGGGAGGAAGGGCAGUAAGUUAAUACCUUGCUGUUUUGACGUUACCAACAGAAUAAGCACCGGCUAACUUCGUG